rnacentral:lncRNA from 1 species
CUUUUGGGUCAUACAAGCUUGAAAUAAGCUCUCUGGCUGCUGACAACAAUGUUGAAAAAUCGAUCUUGUCAAAGUUUUGAAGGUUUGUAAACUUACUCGGAGAUUUUCUUAUCAAUUUGAAGACGGUCUUUUUGCCAAACCCAAAUAUAGCGGAAGUGGUAUCACAACCAGUUAAAGCAUGAACUGCAGGGAGAAUAUUAGCUAGUAAAGGUGAAAGAGAUUUACUUAACUCAUGGAUUGGUAUGUACCUUCUACAGUCCCUAAGAGAAUUAGUUGACCCCGUCAAAAACCACAUUUGUUCAGUCGACACAAGAACCUUGAAAUAAUGAACACAGAGCACAAGAACAUCUGUAUCGGAACACUUGACUAUGAUUCGUCCCCUUAUGUUCAACUGUUGAAAGAUUUUAUCAGAGUGUAUAACAUGAAGCAAGAUUCUUG